rnacentral:rRNA from 1 species
GACGAACGCUGGCGGCGUGCCUAAUACAUGCAAGUCGAACGAAGCUGUUUUAACUGGUGCUUGCACCGACUUAAACAACUGAGUGGCGAACGGGUGAGUAACACGUGGGUAACCUGCCCCAAAGCGGGGGAUAACAUUUGGAAACAGAUGCUAAUACCGCAUAACCACAGAAACCACAUGGUUUCUGUGUCAAAGAUGGUUUCGGCUAUCACUUUGGGAUGGACCCGCGGCGUAUUAGCUAGUUGGUAAGGUAAUGGCUUACCAAGGCAAUGAUACGUAGCCGAACUGAGGGGUUGAUCGGCCACAUUGGGACUGAGACACGGCCCAAACUCCUACGGGAGGCAGCAGUAGGGAAUCUUCCACAAUGGACGAAAGUCUGAUGGAGCAACGCCGCGUGAGUGAAGAAGGUUUUCGGAUCGUAAAACUCUGUUGUCAGAGAAGAACGUGUGCGAGAGUAACUGUUCGUGCAGUGACGGUAUCUGGCCAGAAAGCCACGGCUAACUACGCGCCAGCCGCCGCGGUAA